UUUUUAAAAUUUAAAUUAAAUGUUAACUAAUACUCCUCUUUCAAGCGAAACUUUUGCUGAAAUCCUAGGCAGCCAAGGCUUUUUAACAACUUGCGUUAGCAGAUGUUUCCUCCGCUCGCCGCCGUCCUGUCAACCCAGAAGUGUCGAUCUCUGAAUGUGACGUAACAUGGACGAGAGUUAACGUGGACCGCUCCUAAAGCUUAGUUCCAUAUAAAUGCACAGAUAAUUCAUUGUUUUGACAUUAGUGAAAACCAUACUGACCUUGAAGUUGAAAAAAGAGCCUCAUAUAAAAAAAAACAAUACUAAAACUGUCUAUGCGCCACGCACACUCAACAUACUCAAUCAAUCAACUUUUAUUUCCAGACUCGUAGUCCAAUAAAUACACAAACCAAUAAAAACAACAGCACAUACACAAACAACAAAUACUGAUAUCAAGAUCACUAAUAUUUGCGUUUGGCAGUGGUGACUACGACUUUAAUGUGGACGUGGAUUACGGCUGUUGGAAACAACGGUGUGGAUCGAUCUGUCUCAGCUGUGUCUGCUUGUGAUGGAGUGAGCUUUCUCUCUGUACUCAUUCUGAUUUAUCUACAGUACACAUAUCGUGCACAAGGACUGGUUUCCAUUUUAUUCUUUUUUUAAUUUUUAAAUGUUGACUGGAACAAAUGUGUAAUCAUCGGUGGUAUUGUUGGUGUCAUUACACACUCAGACAGAUGGGGAAAGAGGGAUCCAGUUCCCUUGAAGAGCCUCGGUAAUUACAUUCAGCAGCCAAUGUUGAUACGUAGAACUGAGUGCUUGUAAAGCAGUAAUGGAGAGAGCAGUUAAUCACGUGCGUACACAGCAGGCAAAAUCUGAGAAUCUUUCCCCACAAAUAAAAAAAAAAAAAAAAAAAAGGAAGCUAUGCCCGUUUUAAAUCAAACAGAAUAAUUGACACUGUCAGACUUUGUUCUUGCCUUUUUUUUCCCUUCUUUUUUCAUACGGAGAAUGAGGCCGUGUAGUCUGAGCCAACCAGUGUCCAGAUAGUUUAAAUAAUGCACUGUUUCACUACAUUCUCCUCCGGCUGGCAUGAAGAGAGAGAGAGACCCGCUGUUUUUUCCAUCGGAGGAAAAAAAAUAAAAAAAUAAACCUGGCUAAUUGACAUGCGUUUUCCAUGCUGGGCUAAAUGAAUUAUUUAUGGAGGGCGAGGAGCAAGCGGGGCUCAGAAGACGGCGCAUCCUUGUGGGUUGAGUCCCAUAGUUGUCGGAGGCCGAUUGCCAUGUGUGCGAACGUGCACGACGGGACGUUAAAGGCCCGAUCAUAUUAUUUAACCAUAUAACAUGUGUUCUGCUGAUUAAUAAAACACAAGUUUCAGCCUACAAAGUCUGUGUAUCGGACUAGCGCAGUAAUAAGGUCACAUCUUUACUUACCUUGGCGCGUCCGGACUCCCGCCACCAUGCACACAAACAAUCGCGCACUCAAAUUAACACAUGCCUUCUUCGUCUGCCCUGUUUCAGUGUGUGGUAAAUGGCAUUCUGACAGCAAGACGCCACCCCAUUAGCCGUCGGAGUAUCUCAUUCCAAUAGUCACUGCGCAGCUUAAUUGUUUCUCAGUCCAUCAAACACUUUGGGUUGCCAUCUGUAAAGACGCGAUUGCCAUAAUGUAUUUCCACGCUGCUACAACACAGUCACCUGUUGUUUUACAGCCUCUGUUCACCUCAUGAGUUUCGGAGUCGUUUAAACCGAGUUAUCCCGCCCUCAGUGAUGGAUAGACUUCAGCAGGCUUCACACGUAUGUGAUCCUGCAAUGUGAACGGCAGAAUGUUUCAGCAAAACCCUGGAUAUGCUUCAGUUUUCAGUGUUAAGUUGUAACAACUUUGUGCUUGUGGUCUGUUGAGGGUUAGGCACACAAACCACUUGAUUAGCAAAAGAUCAUGUUUCUCAUUACUGGUUCUGUUGCCACGAAUUCAAGGUCCUAUUGUAAAUACGAAGUUUUCGUCACAACAUGUCGUCAAAAAAUAUCUGUUUUUUCUCGCCGCCAUCACAGCUGGAAAAAUUCGAGAAGUCUCGUUAAAAUUAUCCAGUGGUUUGGCACAAAUAUACAACGCCAACAUUGUAUUCUUUCGACCGUGCCUGGAGGGGAAAAAAGGAUUGCCUCCGUUUCAAUUCAAGAUAGUCAGUCGGCUCAUUAAUAUACUGCUGAUGAUGACAUGCUCGAGUUAAUGGAAUGAUGAUUAAAAUGAUUUUUAAAAUUA